CGGUCGGAGCAUGUUGGUUUUAAUUCGAUGCAACGCGAAGAACCUUACCUGGGCUUGACAUCCCGGGAAUCCCUUGGAAACAAGGGAGUGCCCUUCGGGGAACCUGGAGACAGGUGCUGCAUGGCUGUCGUCAGCUCGUGUCGUGAGAUGUAGGGUUAAGUCCCGCAACGAGCGCAACCCUUGUCUUUAAUUGCCAUCAUUGAGUUGGGCACUUUAAAGAGACUGCCGGUGUUAAACCGGAGGAAGGUGGGGAUGACGUCAAGUCCUCAUGGCCCUUAUAGGUGGGGCUACACACGUCAUACAAUGGCUGGUACAAAGGGUUGCCAACCCGCGAGGGGGAGCCAAUCCCAUAAAGCCAGUCGUAGUCCGGAUCGCAGUCUGCAACUCGACUGCGUGAAGUCGGAAUCGCUAGUAAUCGUGGAUCAGCAUGUCACGGUGAAUACGUUCCCGGGUCUU
rnacentral:rRNA from 1 species